rnacentral:tRNA from 2 species
CGGGGUGUAGCUCAGUCCGGUAGAGCACUCGCUUUGGGAGCGAGAAGUCGUCGGUUCAAAUCCGGCCACCCCGACCC